rnacentral:rRNA from 1 species
CAAGUCGAGCGGUAGAGAGAAGCUUGCUUCUCUUGAGAGCGGCGGACGGGUGAGUAAUGCCUAGGAAUCUGCCUGGUAGUGGGGGAUAACGUCCGGAAACGGACGCUAAUACCGCAUACGUCCUACGGGAGAAAGCAGGGGACCUUCGGGCCUUGCGCUAUCAGAUGAGCCUAGGUCGGAUUAGCUAGUUGGUGGGGUAAUGGCUCACCAAGGCGACGAUCCGUAACUGGUCUGAGAGGAUGAUCAGUCACACUGGAACUGAGACACGGUCCAGACUCCUACGGGAGGCAGCAGUGGGGAAUAUUGGACAAUGGGCGAAAGCCUGAUCCAGCCAUGCCGCGUGUGUGAAGAAGGUCUUCGGAUUGUAAAGCACUUUAAGUUGGGAGGAAGGGCAGUAAAUUAAUACUUUGCUGUUUUGACGUUACCGACAGAAUAAGCACCGGCUAACUCUGUGCCAGCAGCCGCGGUAAUACAGAGGGUGCGAGCGUUGAUCGGAAUUACUGGGCGUAAAGCGCGCG